rnacentral:rRNA from 1 species
UGGGGAAUUUUGGACAAUGGGCGCAAGCCUGAUCCAGCAAUGCCGCGUGAGUGAAGAAGGCCUUCGGGUUGUAAAGCUCUUUUGUCAGGGAAGAAACGGUGAGAGCUAAUAUCUCUUGCUAAUGACGGUACCUGAAGAAUAAGCACCGGCUAACUACGUGCCAGCAGCCGCGGUAAUACGUAGGGUGCAAGCGUUAAUCGGAAUUACUGGGCGUAAAGCGUGCGCAGGCGGUUUUGUAAGUCUGAUGUGAAAUCCCCGGGCUCAACCUGGGAAUUGCAUUGGAGACUGCAAGGCUAGAAUCUGGCAGAGGGGGGUAGAAUUCCACGUGUAGCAGUGAAAUGCGUAGAUAUGUGGAGGAACACCGAUGGCGAAGGCAGCCCCCUGGGUCAAGAUUGACGCUCAUGCACGAAAGCGUGGGGAGCAAACAGGAUUAGAUACCCCAGUAGUCCCUGAGCGGGCUGGCAAGGCGCAU